UAUAUAAAGAGAGAGAGAGAGAAGCAGAUUCUAACAGAUAAAUAAUUUGACAGCAAUAGAUGAAGUCAGAAGAAGCAAAUACGGAACUACAGCGGCUGCAAAUGAGUUUCUGACUUUUCGCAAAGCAUUGUGGGAUUGUCGUUUCAAUAUUAAUGGCGGCGAGUUUGUAAAAAAUCUGAAUUCAAUUUCUGGACUUUUCUGUCUUCAAUCUGAAAAUAUUUGCCUUGUUUAUUCACUGAAUAUUGUUUGUAAGUUUGAGCUUGUAUGAAUACAUAUUACUUAAAAGGAUUUUAAUGAGUAACGAUUGUAAACAAACAGGAAUUGUGAAUGAAGUCAACAGAAGAAUUUCCGAAAAAAUUUUACCAAGCAAGAAGCUUCACCUGUAUGAAGUAUCCCAUCCAUCAUGCCUCAGAGGUGUUCAGUAGGGUUCAUAUCUGGUGAUUGGCUUAGCUAUGGAAGCUUUUUAAUGCCAUUCUCUUCCAACCAAUCCUGGGUCUUUUAGUUGUGCAAGAAAGCCCUAUCUUCCAUAAAUAGUGUUAUUUAAUCAUUUUACCCCUGGAGGUUAUAGGAAGAAGAUUUUUCUAUAAUAUGGACACAUAUGAGUUUAUGUAUCCCUCACAUUCCACCAUUUCUGAUUGACUAUUGCUCCAAACUGCUCUCCAGACCAUCACAUGUUUCAUUGUUGGCUGCAAUAUAUUCACGUGAAAAUAUUGGUGACUGAUUCUCCAGACCCACAUUCAACCAGUGUCAGAAAAUACAGCAAAUCUGGAUUCAUCAGAGAAUUUGACAGUGUCCCAAAGUGCUAGUGACCUCUCUACCGUUUCACUUGUCCAAUCUUUUCUCCAUUUGAUAUUGGCUGGUCGAAGCAGUGUCUUCUUUCUUGCUGCUCUGCCAUAAUAGCCAAUUUUGCAGAGAUAACUGACAGCUAUUCUGGGACUGACAUCAACUUAUUCUGCUAUAUUGGAGGCCU